rnacentral:rRNA from 1 species
GUGAGUAAUGCCUAGGAAAUUGCCCUGAUGUGGGGGAUAACCAUUGGAAACGAUGGCUAAUACCGCAUGAUGCCUACGGGCCAAAGAGGGGGACCUUCGGGCCUCUCGCGUCAGGAUAUGCCUAGGUGGGAUUAGCUAGUUGGUGAGGUAAGGGCUCACCAAGGCGACGAUCCCUAGCUGGUCUGAGAGGAUGAUCAGCCACACUGGAACUGAGACACGGUCCAGACUCCUACGGGAGGCAGCAGUGGGGAAUAUUGCACAAUGGGCGCAAGCCUGAUGCAGCCAUGCCGCGUGUGUGAAGAAGGCCUUCGGGUUGUAAAG